rnacentral:rRNA from 1 species
AAUUAGUAUUUUAUAUAAAAUUUAUUAAAAAAAAUAUUUUUAUUAUUAGUAUAUUUUUGAAUAUAAGAGUUUUAUUAUAGAUUAUUGUAUAGUGAUAGAUAAAUUAAUUAAUGUAUUGAUUAAUUAAUGUAAAGAAAAAUUAAGUUUUUGUACCUUGUGUAUCAGGGUUUAUUAAAAAUAGUUAAUUAAUUUAAUUUUCUCGAAUUAAAAAGAGCUAAUAUUAUAUAAAUAUAAUUGUUAAAUAAAUUUUUAUAAUAUAAUAUUUGUAAUGAAACGUUAUUCGUUUUUUAAUAUAUCUAGUUUUUUAAGAAAUAAAUUUAAUUUAGUUUUUAAUAUAUAUAUAAUUAAAUGAAUAGUUUUAUAUUAUUAGAAAGUAAUAUUUUAAGGGAUAAGCUUUAAAAUAAAUUUUUAUAAUUAAUAAUUUUGUUAUUAAAGUUAGUAGGAUUGGAAAUUUUUAUCUAUAAUAUGUUAUAAUUAUCUUUAGUAAGAUUAAGAUUUAUAUAUUGUUUAAGUUUUUUAUUAAAAUAUUAUAAUUAAUUUUAUAUUAUAAGAAAUAAUGAUAAAAUUAGUAUAAUUUAUUGUAAUUUUAAUUUAUUAUAGUAAGGUUAAAUUAAGGAAUUCGGCAAUUUUAUUUUUCGCCUGUUUAUUAAAAACAUGUCUUUUUGAUUAUAAUUUAAAGUCUAACCUGCCCAAUGAGGAGUUCAAUGGCCGCGGUAUUUUGACCGUGCAAAGGUAGCAUAAUCAUUAGUUUUUUAAUUGAAAGCUGGAAUGAAUGGUUGGACGAGAAAAUAACUGUCUCAAUUUAAUUUAAAUUAGAAUUUUAUUUUUAAGUAAGAAAGCUUAACUGAUUUUAAAAGACGAGAAGACCCUAUAGAGUUUAAUAUUUAUUAUUUAUUUAAUUUAUUAGUAUAAUAUUAAUUUUAUUAAUAGUAAGUAUUUUAUUGGGGCGAUAGAAAAAUUAAUAUAACUUUUUUUAUAUUUUAACAUUAAUUUAUGAUUUAAUGAUCCAUUAAUAAUGAUUAUAAGAUUAAAUUACCUUAGGGAUAACAGCGUAAUUCUUUUUGAGAGUUCAUAUCGAAAAAAGAGUUUGCGACCUCGAUGUUGGAUUAAAAUUAACUUUUGGUGUAGGAGCUAAAUAGUUAGGUCUGUUCGACCUUUAAAAUUUUACAUGAUCUGAGUUUAAACCGGUGUAAGCCAGGUUGGUUUCUAUCUUUAAAUAGUGAGAAUAUUUUAGUACGAAAGGACCAAAUAUUCAUAAUAUUUAUUUUUAAGUGAAUAAUAUUA